rnacentral:rRNA from 1 species
AUUGAAUGCUGGCGGCAGGCCUAACACAUGCAAGUCGAGCGGAUGAAGGGAGCUUGCUCCUGGAUUCGGCGGCGGACGGGUGAGUAAUGCCUAGGAAUCUGCCUGGUAGUGGGGGAUAACGUCCGGAAACGGGCGCUAAUACCGCAUACGUCCUGAGGGAGAAAGUGGGGGAUCUUCGGACCUCACGCUAUCAGAUGAGCCUAGGUCGGAUUAGCUAGUUGGUGGGGUAAAGGCCUACCAAGGCGACGAUCCGUAACUGGUCUGAGAGGAUGAUCAGUCACACUGGAACUGAGACACGGUCCAGACUCCUACGGGAGGCAGCAGUGGGGAAUAUUGGACAAUGGGCGAAAGCCUGAUCCAGCCAUGCCGCGUGUGUGAAGAAGGUCUUCGGAUUGUAAAGCACUUUAAGUUGGGAGGAAGGGCAGUAAGUUAAUACCUUGCUGUUUUGACGUUACCAACAGAAUAAGCACCGGCUAACUUCGUG